UCUUAUGGAUGAACAAAGAAAGUGGUUUCUGAAUAUGGAAGCUACUCCUGAUGAAGAUGCUGAAAA
rnacentral:pre_miRNA from 4 species